rnacentral:lncRNA from 1 species
CUUGAUCACAUUUUUUCAGUUCUCAUUUAUCAAGUACAGAAUAUUUCAUAUGCCAUACAGGUACACGUAUUUUGUAAACUAGUUUAUAAUGCUUUGAUGUGCAUUGUUAUACUAACCUUUUCCAUUAGUCUAUGUUUUAAUUGUAAUAUUUAUUUUAUUAUUUUUUUUUUUAGGCCAAUUAACAUAUAAUUGCUAGAUUUCAUCCCCGCCGCCCCUCUAAAUCGUCCCGCCCGAUUUUUUUUAUUUAACAAAAAUACGAUUCCGAUUUGUCAUGUCCGUUACCAGGAACCUAUCGAUAAUUUCGUUUCAUUCGAAACUUCCUUUUCAGAAUUUCUUUUUUGGUAUUGUCUUUCGCCGAGUAAUCCAUCGAAAAUGAUUAAGUCGAAAUUAUUCUGCUGCGUCUAUAGAUGACAAUUCUCAUUACCGAGAAUAGAACUGAUAACGGAAGGGGGCAUAAAUAUUCGAGUUCGAGUAAAAACGCUUGUCCUUGAACGCAAAUAAUUGCGGUAGUCGACGGUAAGUCACAAGUAAAUCGAAAAUUCGUGUUUUUUUCUUAUUUAUACGAAUGACUUUGUGUCGAGGAGAUUUGGACCUGUGUUAUCCAAAGCGCAAGAAUCGUUAGAACAAUUGUACAAAACAUGACUGGAAUAAAGAAAAUGACACAACACUAACUUGUUUGAAAUUAUGACGUAUGAUUGGAAAAAAAAAUGUCGGACAUCACGCAUGUUUAAUUAAACAAGCCCUUCUAUUCACCCAUGCUUUUUUUGUUGACAAACAAGCAAACAACCCUCGGUUACUGUUCCCUACCAUCAAUUUAUCAUUAAGCCACAACUAAUUGUUUGUUAAGUUCAAUGUUUUACAUCAUGAUUCUUUCAACACUGAGUUUUACAUUUAUUCUUACUCGUAAUAUUUGUUUGUUGCAUACAAUUGAUUACCAAAACCUUUAAUUGAUUUUAUGACGAUACAAACCAUUGCUACAAGCAAAAUCGAUGUGGUAGUAUACUAGUAGUUAACUGAAAACUGAAGAGAGCAUUUCUCUUCUUUUGAUGUCUACUAUAAAUAGGCUUUCUAAAGCAGCCAAUUGCAUGUUAACCAGUGGUCUUGCCAAUCAGGAUUUUUAUUUAAGAGUUUGAAAAAUAGUGUAGGAUUCCUUAUACAGUAUGUAAUACAAUUAUACAAGCUUGGUUUGCCCACUAGCAUAUACCCCGCAUUAUGAAAAACUUCAUGACGAGUUUUCAUAUGAAAUAAAAUUUAAAAAUAAAAUUCCUCCACCCGCCCCAUUUUUUUCAAAAUUUGGAUGAAAAUCUACUAAUUAAUUUUAGUUGGCCUUAUCUACAAUUUGGAAAUUAGUAUGGCGUUCAUUAUCACUGAACUAGUAUAUCUUUGUUUAGGGGCCAGCUGAAGGACGCCUCCGGGUGCGGGAAUUUCUCGCUACAUUUAAGACCUGUUGGUGACCUUCUGCUGUUGUUUUUUUCUAUGGUCGGGUUGUUGUCUCUUUGGCACAUUUCCCAUUUCCAUUCUCAAUUUUAUUAGUAAGAAGCAUUCACGCACUGACUGUCCAUCGUUCAAUUCUUAAUAUCGUCUCCUAGGAGACGAUAUAAUAAUUUGAUUAUAUAAAGAUGAUGCCUUUUGUUCUCUCACUAAAUAAUUGAAUAAUUGGUGACCAUGUUGAAUGCGUCCAUCCGCCAUCGAACUUUAGAUGAUGGCGCAUUGGCGGAUCCAAGGUGGGGGUGCUGGGGUUGAAACCCCUUUUUUGGCCGAUCAAUGCAUUUGAAUGGGGAUAUAUAGCUGGAACACCCCCUUUUUAUCCUAGUUUGGGAACCCCCUUUUUUAAAAGGCUGGAUCCGCCCCUGUAGCGGAUAUGUUCCCAUUUUUCGUAACUACAAACCCGUCCCCUUUUCAAGAAUGUGACCUAUAACGAAUAAGUUAUUAGAACUUGUGUCCAAUCCUUUUUGCUACUUUUACUUUUUUGUGUACAGUACCUGGUGUUGUCAGUCUAUUUUCAUCUUAUGACUUUGAAUGUUCUUCUGGUAACGUUUGCCUCUCUUAUAUAAUAUACAAUUAUACAUUUUAAAAAUACAUAAAGUCUUAGACAAAUAUACCCACAAAAACAAUAUCAAUUCACUCAGAAGGACGCACUCGCUUGUUUAUAUCGUAUAAACUCUUAUUUGUAGACGACAUUAUUUCAUUAAAUAGUGUAAUACUGUUUGACCUUUAAUUAUUUUUUAACCUAUAAAUGCAUUUGAACAAUUGUAAAAAUAUAAUGGAACAUUCUUCUUCAAUGUCUACAUUGCAUAAUAAAUUACAUUUUCCCCCCUUUCAAUGUAGUACCAUCUUCAAGCUGUAAUGGUAUAUUAUCGUCAUUGAUCGUCAUUAUCAUGUCAUCUCCACUUCUGUAUUAAAAUAAUAUUUAAGACAUCUGAUAUCAUAAUUAGUUUUUACUUUCUGUUUUUUUUUUUGUGUUUACAUUAUGAGCCAAAGGUUAAUAAAUAAGUUGAUGAGGAACUCCAUCUCACGGUAUGUAACAGUAAAACAUAUAUUUUUGGUUGAUUGCCACAAGAUUUUUUUACCGUUAAAUGACAGAACAAUAGCGUGCUGUGUGUAACGUUUUUGACAUGCCUGAGUUAUUACGGAUGUUUUAGAAUAUACACGUGUAAGUAUAUUGUUGACAAUUCUACAGGUAGAUAUAGAUGUUUGACGCAAUUCAGGUAUGUUUAGAUUUCAGUUUAACUUUAACAUUUUUAACAUGUUUAAGAUACAUAUAUUUUGAUUAUUUGUAACAGGGUUAAAAAUUUCUAACGAACACAAAAAUAUAUAGUAACAUUACUGUUCUACAUCUGUAAUUGUACUUAAGUACUAAAAUAUGUAUGCUAUUUCAAGAAAAAAGGGUGUUCCCGUCAAGGUUUAGUUUUAAUAUGUCCUAAAAUAUAUUAUACCAUAAAAUUUGUAAUAUAUUAUCUUACUUUUAACCGGUUGUAGGCCGUGAGUUAUAAUUUGUUUGGUUAAAAAGGUCCCAAAAAUUAUGUCAUCUUUAUGAAUUACGUUUUACAUGUAUCAUAUGGUAUGAUUUAUUGCUCAAACUAUAUAUUAGCUGUUCAGUGUUCUCAUUUACAUUUCAAACUGUUAAAAUAAAUUGGCGUACAGAUUGGACUUGGGAUACAUCUUAACAUUCGAUUAUAACCCCUUUACUGUCAUAAUGAAAUCCUCUCACAGACAUAUUAAUGUCCGAACGAUUAAAAUUCUUAGGGAGAAUUACAACAUUUAAUGCGUUUUCUUUAUUACACUCUUACGAUGAAAUAUAAAUUACAUAUAACAUUUGUUCGAAAUACAAUUGAUUUUUUUUUUUAUUUAAUUACAUUGUAUUAUUAUAAAUUGCUUAAUAUCGCGUAACUUCUAUAUCGUAUCGAAAAGCCUAUACAAUAUCUUAUAAAAGAAGUUUUGUUUGAAGUCGUGCUACAGAAAGUUCCUAAACUCAAAACUCAAGACAAUAAUUUAUAUAUGCAUACAGAUAAAACACAGCGAUAAAGCUUUUAGAAUACGCAAUACCUAGUCAUGAUAAUUAUAAUCAUAUAAAUUUAAAUAAUUCGGGUUGGAUGCGUUGUCACGGAGAAAACAAACUCGCAACUUUUAACUGGAAGAUUACUAUCAAAAGAUCGGUUGUACUUAAGGCUUAAAGUUUGAUUACACUGAAACGGACUUAAAAUUUUGCAGAUAAAAGUAUAAAAUUCAUUUUGGACCACGUCAACAACAAGAUAAAACUAGACGACGCACCUGUUGUUUGUUGAUAGCUGAUUCCUGUUAGUAAAUAUUUAAUGGAAUAAAGGCAUUUUAUCAUUGAAUCAAUCGUGAGUAAACAUUUUUAUUCAAUUUUCCAUCUAAUCGUUCUUAUAUAUAAUACAUGUAUAUUAUGUCAUUAUCAAAUAUCUUAUUUUGCUUAUGUUUCCACCAGGUAUGUUCGAUCUCUUUAUGGGAUGCACUUUUAAACCUGUCUAGGUUCAUAUUAUAAAGAAUGGAUUUAAAAUUGUUCAUGUGUGAAUAUUUUAUACAUCAUUUAAGCAAGAAUAAUAAUUGAAAUAUAUUAUUACGCUAGCGCAUCAAAUAUCCUGACUUGAUCAAUAAGUGUUAUUUUAUAUUUUACAUAGGUUGCAUAUGGAGAAGAUAGAUUCUGGAUUAGAAUUUGACAUGCUUAUUACGUGAGUAAAUUUACAAAGACAAAUUCUCAUUGUAUAAUUUAUCAUUAGAUGUUGACGUUUACUACAUGUAUAUAAAUACAGGUAGAGUUUUUGUUACAUUUUUUUACAACACACUAUUUGUAUAUAGAGUGCUUGCUACAUAUGCAUUAAAUGUAAACUUAUCAGAGUUUAAAAAGUUUUUCUAUACACUUGACUAGACAUUUCACUAUAAAGAGCAACAAUUAAUGCAUAACUUUUCGAUGUAUAUGCAUCCCCUAUUUCAUUACUUUUGGCAUUUCGUUUUUCUCUUACAUUUAUUCAUUCGUAUUACAACGAGUUAACUGCAGCUGCUCAAAUAUUUAUUUCAACGCGGAAAAGGUAAUUAAAUUUUAUACCAAUUAUCAAAAAUAGGAUAUUAUAAUAUUCCUGUACCUAAAUAGGUUGUUGAUUUAGUAUGUCUUGACAUUGGACAUGUAACCUGUGACAAAUAGAUGUAAUAGUCCCAUGUGCUACUUUAUAAAUUAAUACAUUGGCAUUUUGUUAUCUAUUUAUAUCUUUACUGAUUAUAUGUACAGAUCUAAGAGACAAGAGCAAGGAAACACUUAUAUGAUUAAUAGAAAGGAAGGAAAACAAUAGAGAUAAUGACAAAAAUGUCAAUGAAGCGACAAACAAAGCGACAAAAUAAAUGUGAAAAACGAGUCGAAACCGAAAAUAAUUAAAUAAAUGAAAUCGAAUUUAUUAUAACGGGUUGACUGCUGCACAAAAUGUAAUUUCUAUCGGGAAAUAUUUAUACACUGACAACAUCAAGAACUUCUCUGAGAUUAAGCUUCAGAACCCCUAUCGCAGCAAUGCGUUUUGUUAGCAUUAAUCGGUUAACUUUUCGGAGUUUGAACAAGCAUAUCAAAGUGAGGAAAAAAAAAACCCGAGGGAAUUCAAAUGGAGCGAGACUGGGUGCAUCGACAGAAUAAACCGCAUAGGAAGGGCGACAACCGUGUUUUCAUAUUCAUUCAGAAGAAAAAGACUGUUUAAUAAAAUUUCUAACCGUUUUCCCUUUUAGUAUUUUUAGGAAAUAAGAUAGGUUUAAACUAAGCAAUGAACAAAAUAAGACACUUUAAUUCAAUACUACAUGUAUGCUACAUUUUUAUUCAUUCUCUUUUUAGGUAAAAUGGAUUAUGUUAAAUCAGCACUACAGAUAAUUCUGCUUGGUUUUUUCUUCUUUGUCUUAGCGUGGAUUUGUGUAUACGCAGACAAGUUGUUACUGGUAUUUCAGAGUUUUUAGUAUAGCUAUUUUGGUGGACCAAGAUUGUUCUAAAACAAGUUUUUUAGCAAUGUAAACAUUACAAUACACACAUCAAUAUGCAUAUGGAUAUCUCACUGAAUUGAUGCAGUCCACCAUUUUAGAAUCUUUCUAGCUUUUGGAUACGUGUGCAUGGACAGAUUGAAGUUUAACAUUCAAUUUGACUUAUUUUAUCUAAACUAAUAUCAUAUUUUUAAUUUAAUAUGUAUGAAAUGAAUGAAAACAUAGUUUAUUAAAU